AUUGAACGCUGGCGGCAGGCCUAACACAUGCAAGUCGAGCGGCAGCGGAAGGAAGCUUGCUUCCUUGCCGGCGAGCGGCGGACGGGUGAGUAAGGUAUGGGGAUCUGGCCGAAGGCGGGGGAUAACCACUGGAAACGGUGGCUAAUACCGCAUAAUCUCUAAGGAGCAAAGUGGGGGACCGUUCAGGCCUCACACCUUCGGAUGAACCCAUAUGAAAUUAGCUAGUAGGUGGGGUAAUGGCUCACCUAGGCGACGAUCUCUAGCUGGUCUGAGAGGAUGAGCAGCCACACUGGGACUGAGACACGGCCCAGACUCCUACGGGAGGCAGCAGUGGGGAAUAUUGCACAAUGGGCGCAAGCCUGAUGCAGCCAUGCCGCGUGUAUGAAGAAGGCCUUCGGGUUGUAAAGUACUUUCAGCCGUGAGGAAGGUGUUAAGGUUAAUAACCUUAGCAAUUGACGUUAGCGACAGAAGAAGCACCGGCUAACUCCGUGCCAGCCGCCGCGGUAA
rnacentral:rRNA from 1 species